CAGCCGAUGCAGUAUCAUAAGUUGCACGAGUAUUAUUGCCAGUAUUGCCAUCAGUAGAAUACGAAGCAGGCUGAGAAUAACCACCACCAUAAGAAGUGUUGUAAGGCGGCAUCCCCUGCCCAUAACCGGAUUGACCAGCUGGUGCUGAACCAUAAGGUGGACCAUACCCAGGUUGAGAACCUGAUGCACCAAACCCAGAUGGUGGUGGACGUUGUGGACCUGAAUCUGAUUGGGUAUAGCCAGAUGGUGGUGGCUGAGAAGGGGGAUAUCCAGGCUGCACAGGGGUAGCCUGGCCAUAACCUCCAGGGGU
rnacentral:misc_RNA from 1 species